GACGAACGCUGGCGGCGUGCUUAACACAUGCAAGUCGAACGGAAAGGCCCUUCGGGGUACUCGAGUGGCGAACGGGUGAGUAACACGUGGGUGAUCUACCCUGCACUUUGGGAUAAGCCUGGGAAACUGGGUCUAAUACCGGAUAGGACUACGCGAUGCAUGUCGUGUGGUGGAAAGCUUUUGCGGUGUGGGAUGGGCCCGCGGCCUAUCAGCUUGUUGGUGAGGUUAUGGCAUACCAAGGCGACGACGGGUAGCCGGCCUGAGAGGGUGACCGGCCACACUGGGACUGAGAUACGGCCCAGACUCCUACGGGAGGCAGCAGUGGGGAAUAUUGCACAAUGGGCGCAAGCCUGAUGCAGCGACGCCGCGUGAGGGAUGACGGCCUUCGGGUUGUAAACCUCUUUCAGCAGGGACGAAGCGCAAGUGACGGUACCUGUAGAAGAAGGACCGGCCAACUACGUGCCAGCCGCCGCUGUAA
rnacentral:rRNA from 1 species